AGAAAACACACUACUGUAGCUCUCUUCCCAGUUUGUUUGGUGGAAUAGGUGUGUGGCAUCAUGGCAGUUGGGUUAGUUUUGUGGGCAUGGCUUUUGACUAUCCUGGUCUGGAAUGUCUGUGGUUAUCCAAUUGGAGGACAUGAUGCUUGGCCUUCUCAGCCUAGCAGUGGCCUAAUGCAGCCACAUCCAAGCCGGUUUGGUUCCUCUAAAGAAGACCCAGCUGUGCCUGACUCUGUUGAGGAGGUCGAAACUCCUAUGUAUGUGGUCAUGAAGGCAAUUCCUGAUGCAGUUCCUGAGGCCAUUCCUGGUGCAGUUCCUGAGAUCAGUCUGGUUCCACCACCUCCACCACCAUCGCCAUUUGAGCAGAUCUACAAACCAGGGAAAGUCAUUCGGCAGCUUUCUACUUUUGAGUAUGGUCAUGAUUCAUCCGAGUCCCAUGAUGAUGAUUUGCCACUGUAUGGUCCUUUCCCAGUUGACGUUGAGCCCAGCUCCUCAGAAAUCGGUGCCCCAGAAACUAGUGCCCCAGAGCCCAGUUACCUGGAGACCUCUGGUCCCGGUUAUCCCUACCCAGAGUUGGAUGACCAGUUCUUUCACAUGUUCAUCACUGGACAGCUUCCACGUGGUACUGUGACCCACUUCUCUACCCAUUACGAACAGGGCAAAAAUGCCUGGACCGACGUAGGCUUUGAAAAGAUGGUUCCUCCCCCUAUAGUUCCUUCUAAAAUGGCUCCAGCUGCUCCAAGCAAAGUACUGAACAAGCGCAAGAGUUUUGCUAAUCGCUAUCCCCCUAAACAGUAGUGGAGGACUCCAAGCCAGGAGGUGGUGCUGACUUCACAGGAAAUGCCAGGGCAAGAAAAUGUUCCUUGCCUUGAUUUAAUAAACAUUUUACACUGAA